UACGUAGGGAGCGAGCGUUAUCCGGAUUUACUGGGUGUAAAGGGUGCGUAGGCGGCAUGGUAAGUCAGAAGUGAAAUUUUGGGGCUCAACCCCAGAGCUGCUUCUGAAACUGCUGUGCUAGAGUGUGGGAGAGGAAAGUGGAAUUCCGAGUGUAGCGGUGAAAUGCGUAGAGAUUCGGAGGAACACCAGUAGCGAAGGCGGCUUUCUGGACCAUAACUGACGCUGAGGCACGAAAGCGUGGGGAGCAAACAGG
rnacentral:rRNA from 3 species